GAUGAACGCUGGCGGCGUGCCUAAUACAUGCAAGUCGAGCGAACGGACGAGAAGCUUUCUUCUCUGAGGUUAGCGGCGGACGGGCGAGUAACACGUGGAUAACCUACCUAUAAGACUGGGAUAACUUCGGGAAACCGUAGCUAAUACCGGAUAAUAUUUUGAACCGCAUGGUUCAAAAGUGAAAGACGGUCUUGCUGUCACUUAUAGAUGGAUCCGCGCUGCAUUAGCUAGUUGGUAAGGUAACGGCUUACCAAGGCAACGAUGCAUAGCCGACCUGAGAGGGUGAUCGGCCACACUGGAACUGAGACACGGUCCAGACUCCUACGGGAGGCAGCAGUAGGGAAUCUUCCACAAUGGGCGAAAGCCUGACGGAGCAACGCCGCGUGAGUGAUGAAGGUCUUCGGAUCGUAAAACUCUGUUAUUAGGGAAGAACAUAUGUGUAAGUAACUGUGCACAUCUUGACGGUACCUAAUCAGAAAGCCACGGCUAACUACGUG
rnacentral:rRNA from 1 species